AAGUCGUAACAAGGUUUCCGUAGGUGAACCUGCGGAAGGAUCAUUGCAAAUCAAAGAUUGGGAAUGGUAUGGUUGGAUUUUAGGAAGCGAGGUGAUUUUGAGAGAUUCUAGAUAUCGAAAGAUUGAAGGAUAAUCUUGAAACAUUUUGUUUACUAUUUGCUUCCAUUUCAUUUCCACAUACGCACAGCGUGCUGGGAUCGAGGGAAAGGUUAAUUUUGUUGAUUGAAUAACAUUUAGUUGACUGGUUCUCCUUUCUUUUGUCUCUGCCGCUGAUGUUUACGCUUGUUUGUUUGACAAAUCUAUUACAUUUAAAGUAUACAAAACUUUUAACAACGGAUCUCUUGGCUCUU
rnacentral:misc_RNA from 1 species